GCCCGGGUGGUCUAGUGGUAUGAUUCUCGCUUAGUAAGCCUCACCAACCAAUCACAGUCACCCGUUCAAAUAACUAACCGCAACUCCAGGGGUUCACCCUUAGCAUAUAUGCGAGAGGUCCCGCGUUCGAUCCGCGGCUCGGGCC